rnacentral:rRNA from 1 species
AUGGGUAACACCAUCUGGAGGACCGAACCAAUAAGCGUUGAAAAGCUUCUGGAUGACCUGAGGGUGGGGGUGAAAGGCUAAUCAAACUUGGAGAUAGCUCGUACUCCCCGAAAUGCAUUUAGGUGCAGCCUUGACUUAUACUGGCAUGAGGUAGAGCGACUGAUAAGAUGCGAGGGCUUCACCGCCUAUCAAGUCUUGACAAACUCCGAAUGCGUGUCAGUUCUAUGUCAGGAGUGAGGGCAUGGGUGCUAAGGUCCAUGUCCUAAAGGAGAACAAUCCGGACCAACAGCUAAGGUCCCGAAAUGAAUACUAAGUUGAACUAACGAAGUCAGAUUGCUAAGACAGCUAGGAUGUUGGCUUGGAAGCAGCCAUUCAUUUAAAGAGUGCGUAACAGCUCACUAGUCGAGGAGUUUGGCGUGGAUAAUAAUCGGGCAUAAGUAUUCUACCGAAGCUUUGGGAUGAGAAAUCAUCGGUAGGGGAGCAUUCCACUCGGCGUCGAAGGUGAAGCGCGAGCUUUGCUGGAGCGUGUGGAAAAGCAAAUGUAGGUAUAAGUAACGAUAAAGGGGGUGGGAAACCCCCUCGCCGAAAGACUAAGGUUUCCUGAUCAACGCUAAUCGGAUCAGGGUAAGUCGGGUCCUAAGGCUCAGCCGAACGGCGAGGCCGAUGGCAGAACCGGUUAAUAUUCCGGUACUACCUGUGGGAGUGACGUGGAGACGGAGUCGUGACAGCGCCGCGGACUGACGGAAUAGUCCGUUGAAGGGUGUAGAUGCUGAUUGUUCCAGGCAAAUCCGGAGCAAGAGUCGAACCUGACAGUAUGGAGCGUUCUUAGAACAAUCCAAUAGUGCGUGUAAUCAUACUUCCAAGAAAAUCCGCUAAACUUAAUCCUGCAGGUACCCGUACCGCAAACGGACACACGUAGUCGGGUUGAAUAUACUAAGGCGCUUGAGUGAUUCACGGUUAAGGAACUAGGCAAACUGACCCUGUAACUUCGGGAUAAAGGGUCCUCGCUUUACGGCGAGGCGCAGAGAAUAGGUCCAGGCAACUGUUUAACAAAAACACAGGGCUGUGCAAAAUUGAAAGAUGAAGUAUACAGCCUGACACCUGCCCGGUGCUGGAAGGUUAAGAGGAGAUGUCAUCGCAAGAGAAGCAUUGAAUUGAAGCCCCAGUAAACGGCGGCCGUAACUAUAACGGUCCUAAGGUAGCGAAAUUCCUUGUCGGGUAAGUUCCGACCUGCACGAAUGGUGUAAUGAUCUGGACGCUGUCUCAACCGUGAGCUCAGUGAAAUUGUAGUAUCGGUGAAGAUGCCGAUUACCCGCGAUGGGACGAAAAGACCCCGUGAACCUUUACUAUAGCUUAACAUUGAAUUUGGGUAAUUGAU